rnacentral:rRNA from 1 species
UACGAAGGGGGCUAGCGUUGCUCGGAAUCACUGGGCGUAAAGGGUGCGUAGGCGGGUCUUUAAGUCAGGGGUGAAAUCCUGGAGCUCAACUCCAGAACUGCCUUUGAUACUGAAGAUCUUGAGUUCGGGAGAGGUGAGUGGAACUGCGAGUGUAGAGGUGAAAUUCGUAGAUAUUCGCAAGAACACCAGUGGCGAAGGCGGCUCACUGGCCCGGUACUGACGCUGAGGUGCGAAAGCGUGGGGAGCGAUCCGG